AUGGUGGAGGGGUGAGGGGUACUGGGGUAAGAGUUGGAAAGUGGGCAGCAAGGAGGGGCAGAGCGGGGGUAAUAGUUAGGAGCAGAGGAGAGAGAGCGAUUAAGAGCUAGACGUGACAAGGGUGUGAACUAGUGUAGAGCGAGAUGAGCUGAAGGACUAGGACUAGCGGUGGGGUGGGAACUGCGAGGUUCUGAGAAAGGUAUGGGUUGGUGGACUAUGGCUGUAAAUUUUUGAAAGUGAGAGAGGGUGAAUGAGACACCGGACUAGUACCAGGUGGAGUUAAGAAUAAGAGUGUAGUGGAAGGAAGGGGUGAAAGGACAGAGAUGAGAUAGGACGUUUAUAGGACAAUUUGAGAACCAGAAAAGCUGGAGGGAAAAGAGAGUGAGAAGUGCUGGCGGUGUGGGACCGGGUAACUGGGGAAUUGUGUUAAUUGACGAGGUUCAACAAGAUCCAAGGUAAAAACAGGGAGGUGAAGAUACAGGGCUAAUAGCAGAGGUUGAAGGAGCGAGGUAGAGAUGGGCCCCAGGCUUUAAAGGAUGAGAUGGGGAGUAAGGGAAGUCUGGGGAGUCCUGAUGGAUGCAGAAGUGGGGCAGACUAUACAGGAGUGGGAAUCAGAUGUGCAUAUUAUGGGGAGAUCCUCCAGAAAGAAGGUCUGUCUGCAUGGGUAAGGGCACAGAUGCUGUAGUGAAGAAUCAAGUGUAGGGAGCCUUUGGUGCAGAAGAGGAACCAUGAUUCUUUGGAUGGGACGAAACCUUGAAAGGACCUGUAGUUUACCCUGCAACUUCAGACAAUAUCCCACUUAAAUUAUCCCAGGUAAUAGAGAAGAGGAAACUUAAUCCAUGACAGUAGAAUAAUAUGGAAGAAGAUGGAAAAAAACUUGUUUAAUGGGU